rnacentral:rRNA from 1 species
GUAGGUGGCGAGCGUUGUCCGGAAUUAUUGGGCGUAAAGCGCGCGCAGGUGGGAUCUUAAGUCUGUUUUUAAAGUGCGGAGCUCAACUCCGUGAUGGGAUGGAAACUGGGAUUCUUGAGUAUCGGAGAGGAAAGCGGAAUUCCCCGUGUAGCGGUGAAAUGCGUAGAUAUGGGGAGGAACACCAGUGGCGAAGGCGGCUUUCUGGACGAUGUCUGACACUGAGGCGCGAAAGCUAGGGGAGCGAACGGGAUUAGAUACCCCGGUAGUCCUAGCCGUAAACGAUGGGUACUAGGUGUGGGGGGUGUCAACUCCUCCCGUGCCGGCGCUAACGCAAUAAGUACCCCGCCUGGGGAGUACGGCCGCAAGGUUG